GGAAGCGUGCCUGAGAACAUAAGGACUACCUUGAUAGAGUAGACACGGGAACCAUCAAACCCCACUUCCC
rnacentral:tRNA from 1 species